GAUGAACGCUGGCGGCGUGCCUAAUACAUGCAAGUCGAGCGAACAGAUAAGGAGCUUGCUCCUUUGACGUUAGCGGCGGACGGGUGAGUAACACGUGGAUAACCUACCUAUAAGACUGGGAUAACUUCGGGAAACCGGAGCUAAUACCGGAUAACAUAUUGAACCGCAUGGUUCAAUAGUGAAAGGCGGCUUUGCUGUCACUUAUAGAUGGAUCCGCGCCGUAUUAGCUAGUUGGUAAGGUAACGGCUUACCAAGGCAACGAUACGUAGCCGACCUGAGAGGGUGAUCGGCCACACUGGAACUGAGACACGGUCCAGACUCCUACGGGAGGCAGCAGUAGGGAAGCUUCCGCAAUGGGCGAAAGCCUGACGAAGCAACGCCGCGUGAGUGAUGAAGGUCUUCGGAUCGUAAAACUCUGUUAUCAGGGAAGAACAAAUGUGUAAGUAACUGUGCACAUCUUGACGGUACCUGAUCAGAAAGCCACGGCUAACUACGUG
rnacentral:rRNA from 1 species